rnacentral:rRNA from 1 species
AUUGAACGCUGGCGGCAGGCUUAACACAUGCAAGUCGAGCGGAGAGAGGUAGCUUGCUACUGAUCUUAGCGGCGGACGGGUGAGUAAUGCUUAGGAAUCUGCCUAUUAGUGGGGGACAACAUUUCGAAAGGAAUGCUAAUACCGCAUACGUCCUACGGGAGAAAGCAGGGGAUCUUCGGACCUUGCGCUAAUAGAUGAGCCUAAGUCGGAUUAGCUAGUUGGUGGGGUAAAGGCCUACCAAGGCGACGAUCUGUAGCGGGUCUGAGAGGAUGAUCCGCCACACUGGGACUGAGACACGGCCCAGACUCCUACGGGAGGUAGCAGUGGGGAAUAUUGGACAAUGGGCGGAAGCCUGAUCCAGCCAUGCCGCCUGUGUGAAGAAGGCCUUUUGGUUGUAAAGCACUUUAAGCGAGGAGGAGGCUACUUAGAUUAAUACUCUGGGAUAGUGGACGUUACUCGCAGAAUAAGCACCGGCUAACUCUGUGCCAGCCGCCGCCGUAA